rnacentral:rRNA from 1 species
CGCAACGAGCGCACCCCUCUUUCUUUGUUGCCAGCACUUAAGGGGGGAAACUCAGGGAAUACUGCCGGGGUCAACUCGAAGGAAGGGGGGGAUGACUUCAAAUCAUCAUGCCCCUUAUGUUUGGGGUUUCACCCAUGCUACAAGGGCCGGUACAAGGGGCUGCAAUACCGGGGGGGGGAGCAAAUCCCAAAAAGCGGGCCCCAUUUCGAAUUGGGGUCUGCAACUCCCCCUCAUGAAUUCGGAUUCCCUAGUAAUCGCAAAUCACCAACGCUGCGGUAAAUACUUUCCCGGGUUUGGAACCCCCCGAAAAAUAAUUUU